UACGUAGGGAGCAAGCGUUGUCCGGAAUCAUUGGGCGUAAAGCGCGCGUAGGUGGCCCCAUAAGUCCGCUGUGAAAGUCAAAGGCUCAACCUUUGAAAGCCGGUGGAUACUGUGGGACUAGAGUACGGAAGAGGCGAGUGGAAUUCCUGGUGUAGCGGUGGAAUGCGCAGAUAUCAGGAGGAACACCAAGAGCGAAGGCAGCUCGCUGGGACGUUACUGACACUGAGGCGCGAAAGCGUGGGGAGCGAACAGG
rnacentral:rRNA from 1 species